UACGAGGAUAUUUGACUUUUUUUACUCUUUGCCACCGCAAACCCUAAUCCGCAAUUUCUUCUCUGCUUAAACUUGUGCAUGGGGAGCACAAGAAGAUGGAAUACAAUAUUGACUGUUUUUAAAACCAAUACACGGGCACUGAUAAGCGUUUCAUCUUCCAGAGAUUGAAUUGUUUAGUGGAGAAGCGAGUGAUUUGCAGGCUCAACACUCCACCCGACAAUCAUGGGUAUCUCACGAGAUUCAAUGCACAAAAGACGUGCAACGGGAGGAAAGAAGAAGCAAUGGAGGAAAAAACGGAAGUACGAGCUGGGAAGACAGCCUGCAAUGACAAAGCUCUCAAGCAACAAGACAGUUAGAAGGGUACGUGUGAGGGGAGCAAAUUUGAAAUGGAGAGCUCUAAGGUUGGAUUCUGGUAAUUAUUCCUGGGGUUCUGAGGCUGUGACUAGGAAAACACGUUUAUUGGAUGUGGUGUACAAUGCAUCCAAUAAUGAGCUUGUGAGGACACAGACUUUGGUUAAGAGUGCUAUUGUUCAGGUUGAUGCUGCCCCUUUCCGUAUUUGGUAUCAGCAGCACUAUGGCCAGGAUAUUGGCAGGAAGAAGAAGGCGCCUGCUGUUUCAAAGAAGGAAACUGAGGAGGGAGAAGCUGCCUCAGAAGAGAAGAGUAGAAGCAAACAUGUAAUAAGAAAGGUAGAGAAACGUUGUGAGGGUCACAAACUUGACCAACACAUGGAAGAGCAGUUUGCUGGUGGCAAGCUCAUGGCAUGUAUUUCCUCUCGCCCUGGACAGUGUGGGCGUGCUGAUGGAUACAUUCUUGAAGGCAAAGAGCUUGAAUUUUACAUGAAAAAGUUGCAGAAGAAGAAAGGAAAGGGUGCUGCUGGUGCUGCUUAAGAAUCGUUUUAGAUUCUUGAGGCACUUGUUAACAUUAUUUUUUCUGGUGAACAAUUUUGAGUCAUACUUAGGGUAAAAAACUCUGAUGUCCGUACUUCAAAUCUGUCUCUGGAGAUGCGAAUUUUCGUGGCUAGAAUGUUGUGCCCGUAUCAUUUUUCUGACUCCUGGAAACUUCAUUUCUCUAGGCAUAGUAAUAAGCAAGUCAAAUCUGGGCCCACAUGAUAAGUUUUUGUCACCCUCACUUCAUUUGUAGACAUAGUAGAAGCAAAAAAAAAUGGUAAUGGAAGGUUCAUUAAUAAAUAUCACAUGUAAUAAUAGUGUUGUAUUUUUUAGCUUUUUGACCAAAAUUAGCUCAUUACUGGGACAUUUGUGCACUACUACUACUAGGGCAUUUGUCCACUACUAUUGGCUAUUUUGAGUUAUCUACUAUUGGCGCAAAGGUGAACAUGUAUUGGACCACA